rnacentral:lncRNA from 1 species
GAAAGACUGAAUUUUCCAAGAAGCAAUUUUUAUUCUUGCACUAUUGUGCAAAGCCUUCAUUUUGUUAUUGUUGCCAUUGUUGUCGGCUUAGCAGGUGAGCCUCAUUAUUUUUGGAACUUGCCCUUGGAACUGUGCCACCGGGUAAGUCCUUUUCCCUAUUUCUAAACCUGCCCUCGGAACUGUGCCUGCGGGUAGGCUUUUUUCCCUCAGUUAGGAACCCUGCCUUUGCAACUGUGCCAUCAGGCUAGUUCCCUUCCUUGGCUCCUCCUGUAUCUCCUCGGCUCCCCGCAGAAAAAGCUAUCUUGCCUUGAAGAGUCUAGUUUUCUUCUUGUUCUUGACUUUGGGGACUCUGAAGCUGAGGGCAGCGUCAGGGGCAGGGAACACAGGGGAGGGACAGAGUCCUGUCCUGAGGGUUCGUGGGGAAGCUUUCGGCAGGGCAGGGACACUGAGCCACGUUUGCAAGGGGUCAGACGAAGGGCAGGGAGGGGGCCUGAGAUGGGUUGGGCACAAGAUUCUUGGAGGAUGUGCCCACUUGCUGUGGUCUGGUCUCAGCAUGACCUCCUGUGCUGCUUGGUCCUUGCCGAGUCUCCAUAGUCCCCACUGCUCCCCCUGCAGCAUUGUCCCUGUCCUGGGCCCAGGCCCAGCCACCCCGAUGGACACGCCAGUGGAGGAAUCCCUCUUCCAAAUCAUCCACUGCUACCACCAGUACGCGGCCCGGGAGGGGGACGUGGAGACCCUGUGCCCGGAGGAGUUGACGGCCUUUCUUGUGGACAACAUGCCUCGCUUCAUGGAGAGCUUGGGCCGGAAGGAGCCGUACUAUGUCAUAGAGUUGUUCCGGGCAGCAGACAAGGACAAGGACAACCAGAUCUGCUUUGAGGAGUUCCUCUACAUCCUGGGCAAGCUGGUGAAGGACUACCACCUGCAGUGCCACUGGCAGGUGUGUGCCCACUACUGCGCCUGGCACAGUCUUUAUUAGAGGGAGCACGGGCAGCCUCCACACAGGGCUGCCCCGGGAGCAGGUGUGACCGGGCUGUGAGCCCUGCCUUGUGUGUCUGUGGCAAGGACAGCUGUGAGGGAAGAGAAUAAAACAGCUU